rnacentral:rRNA from 1 species
AUACGUAGGGUGCGAGCGUUGUCCGGAAUUACUGGGCGUAAAGAGCUCGUAGGUGGUUUGUCGCGUCGUCUGUGAAAUUCCGGGGCUUAACUCCGGGCGUGCAGGCGAUACGGGCAUAACUUGAGUACUGUAGGGGAGACUGGAAUUCCUGGUGUAGCGGUGAAAUGCGCAGAUAUCAGGAGGAACACCGGUGGCGAAGGCGGGUCUCUGGGCAGUAACUGACGCUGAGGAGCGAAAGCAUGGGUAGCGAACAGGAUUAGAUACCCUGGUAGUUCAUGCCGUAAACGGUGGGCGCUAGGUGUAGGGGUCUUCCACGACUUCUGUGCCGUAGCUAACGCAUUAAGCGCCCCGCCUGGGGAGUACGGCCGCAAGGCUAAAACUCAAAGGAAUUGACGGGG